rnacentral:rRNA from 1 species
GACGAACGCUGGCGGCGUGCUUAACACAUGCAAGUCGAACGGUGAGGCCUUCGGGUACACGAGUGGCGAACGGGUGAGUAACACGUGGGUGAUCUGCCCCCUACUCUGGGAUAAGCCUGGGAAACUGGGUCUAAUACCGGAUAUGACCUCCUGCUUCAUGGUGGGUGGUGGAAAGUUUUUUCGGUAGGGGAUGAGCCCGCGGCCUAUCAGCUUGUUGGUGGGGUAAUGGCCUACCAAGGCGACGACGGGUAGCCGGCCUGAGAGGGCGACCGGCCACACUGGGGCUGAGACACGGCCCAGACUCCUACGGGAGGCAGCAGUGGGGAAUAUUGCACAAUGGGCGAAAGCCUGAUGCAGCGACGCCGCGUGGGGGAUGGCGGCCUUCGGGUUGUAAACCCCUUUCAGUCGGGACGAAGCGAGAGUGACGGUACCGAUAGAAGAAGCACCGGCCAACUACGUGCCAGCCGCCGCGGUAAAAC